rfam:Biomphalaria glabrata isolate BB02 unplaced genomic scaffold LGTN_random_Scaffold7917, whole genome shotgun sequence.
AGCUUUGCGCAGUGGCGGUACCAUAGCCAAUGAGGUUUUACCGAGGCGUGGUUAUUGCUAGUUGAAAACUAUUCCCAAUACCCCGCACAGACGACCUUAAUCGGUCGGCUAGUGCAAUUUUUUACUGCUCUUACGGGAG